UCAAGUCCUUAGGUUGAAGUGCCC
rnacentral:siRNA from 1 species